UUCGGGGUACUCGAGUGGCGAACGGGUGAGUAACACGUGGGUGAUCUGCCCUGCACUUUGGGAUAAGCCUGGGAAACUGGGUCUAAUACCGAAUAGGACCACGCGCUUCAUGGUGUGUGGUGGAAAGCUUUUGCGGUGUGGGAUGGGCCCGCGGCCUAUCAGCUUGUUGGUGGGGUAAUGGCCUACCAAGGCGACGACGGGUAGCCGGCCUGAGAGGGUGACCGGCCACACUGGGACUGAGAUACGGCCCAGACUCCUACGGGAGGCAGCAGUGGGGAAUAUUGCACAAUGGGCGCAAGCCUGAUGCAGCGACGCCGCGUGAGGGAUGACGGCCUUCGGGUUGUAAACCUCUUUCAAUAGGGACGAAGCGCAAGUGACGGUACCUAUAGAAGAAGCACCGGCCAACUACGUGCCAGCAGCCGCGGUAAUACGUAGGGUGCGAGCGUUGUCCGGAAUUACUGGGNGUAAAGAGCUCGUAGGUGGUUUGUCGCGUUGUUCGUGAAAACUCACAGCUUAACUGUGGGCGUGCGGGCGAUACGGGCAGACUAGAGUACUGCAGGGGAGACUGGAAUUCCUGGUGUAGCGGUGGAAUGCGCAGAUAUCAGGAGGAACACCGGUGGCGAAGGCGGGUCUCUGGGCAGUAACUGACGCUGAGGAGCGAAAGCGUGGGGAGCGAACAGGAUUAGAUACCCUGGUAGUCCACGCCGUAAACGGUGGGUACUAGGUGUGGGUUCCUUCCUUGGGAUCCGUGCCGUAGCUAACGCAUUAAGUACCCCGCCUGGGGAGUACGGCCGCAAGGCUAAAACUCAAAGGAAUUGACGGGGGCCCGCACAAGCGGCGGAGCAUGUGGAUUAAUUCGAUGCAACGCGAAGAACCUUACCUGGGUUUGACAUGCACAGGACGCCGGCAGAGAUGUCGGUUCCCUUGUGGCCUGUGUGCAGGUGGUGCAUGGCUGUCGUCAGCUCGUGUCGUGAGAUGUUGGGUUAAGUCCCGCAACGAGCGCAACCCUUGUCCUAUGUUGCCAGCGGGUUAUGCCGGGGACUCGUAGGAGACUGCCGGGGUCAACUCGGAGGAAGGUGGGGAUGACGUCAAGUCAUCAUGCCCCUUAUGUCCAGGGCUUCACACAUGCUACAAUGGCCGGUACAAAGGGCUGCGAUGCCGUGAGGUGGAGCGAAUCCUUUCAAAGCCGGUCUCAGUUCGGAUCGGGGUCUGCAACUCGACCCCGUGAAGUCGGAGUCGCUAGUAAUCGCAGAUCAGCAACGCUGCGGUGAAUACGUUCCCGGGCCUUGUACACACCGCCCGUCACGUCAUGAAAGUCGGUAACACCCGAAGCCGG
rnacentral:rRNA from 1 species